rnacentral:lncRNA from 1 species
GCGCCUGCGCAGCACGGCCCUCCACCUCGGUGGCGUUCUGGUUGCUAUGCCCUUUUGUGGCUGUGACUGCCCGCCCUCACAACGGCCCGUUUUCUUCCCAGUGCUCUGAACUUUUGGGCAAAUGUGUCAAGUGUGUACACAGACAAAGCCUCACUUCAAAGCUCGUGUUCAGGGCCCUUAAAGUCAUAGUUAUUGCAAAACUGCGGCCGUCUGGCGAACCUGCCUUAUGUAAGGGUGCUUGAACGUAUGAUUCACCAAACAUUUCCGCAGACAUCGCAAAGUUGUUGGAGCCAGAGUAGGAGAAAGACCACCCAUUUGAGAUCAUGGCUUGACAGGGAACACUCCCUCCUGCCACCAGAAUGGGACCAAUCUAGACAUCUCUUCUCUGGCUUCCUUGUGCCUGGCCUUUUUUGGAGGGUUGGGAUAGUGGCCUGUCUUCAUGCAUGGUGAGAUAACACCAACAUCGAAGGAAGAUCUUUGCCACAGAGGAUCCUAGUUCCAGCUCCCAGGUAUCGGCCCCAACGCCUCCUAUCUUGUGGAUCGAGUUCCUGUGGAGGAAGCUAACACAGCGGUAAGCAAAUGUGGACUGACAGAGGACACAGGGCCAUUCGAGAAACUGUCAGAAACUGAGAAUCACCUCAGAACACGCUGAGAAGGAGAGCUAAGGAGCUUCGGUUAAAUGGACUACGAGGACCCACGUCAUAGAGGGAAGUCUGUCUCACUGAUUCUGAUUUUUUUCAAAUAAAAUGUUUUCUUUAA